rnacentral:lncRNA from 1 species
GGCCUUUGAAACUUAAAAGAAAAUCACCUAGAAUCUGACAUUUACAAUUUUGGCCAUUUCAAAUACAACACUUGAUAAUUAGUGCCUUCUAAUGUAUACAAAAUCAUUUGCAAUAAUAAACUAAACUAAUACACGGUCUGAUUUAAUCUUCAGCUCCAAACCCUUUUUCUAUCAACUUUAAAUCCUUUCCUUAGCUUUAGAGCUUGCCAAUCUAAUCAAUUAGUGGUCAGAUCUGCAAACUAUAGCUAAAUAAUCAAUAGCAAACAACUCUAACACAAAUCUACAUAUUUCAAAUAAAGUAAACUAUAGUAGAAUUCCUAUUCAUACUACAGCCAAAUCUGCUUGACCUACACAACAUUCUCAACCUUAAAAUCAAAAGGGGCAUUUAGUAACUGAUACCUUCAUACUAUUCAUCACUAACAUAAAAUGUUUCUAAAGUAAGAAAAGGAAAGAAGAAGACAACAUGCCAUUCAAAAUCUAUGUUUCAUCAACUACUGAUGUUGAUAGGCCAUUUCCCUUGUCCAAAUACUCCAACCAUUAUACAAAAUGACAAAACAAAUAAGUAGAAGACAAAACUAAAGCAGAUUUAAAGCUUUAAAUGGGCUAGAAAUUCCAAAAUCAUUGCAAGAAAUAAGCAAUCUAACUUUAUUGAUUCUCGAAUGUUUAAGGAAAUCAACAUUUCAUUCAAGACAAAUCAAUCCAAGCAUACAAAAGAUUAGGAAAAUACCUAGCAAAAAGAAAAAAACACCUUAAAAGAGCAAAGCAAAUUGCAGUUCUUAGCUCCGCUCAACAAAAAUCAGCAAUGAAUAUACCCAAAGUUCUAUUCCACCUUCUGAAAUCCAACCAAGAAGGACCCCAAAACAGUAGAAAACUCAAGAUUUCUUAAGAACCCUUGAAAAAAAUUUCGUUCUCAACC